rnacentral:rRNA from 1 species
GACGAACGCUGGCGGCGUGCUUAACACAUGCAAGUCGAACGAGAGCGUAGAGAAAGCUUGCUUUUUCUACAAUCUAGUGGCAAACGGGUGAGUAACGCGUAAACAACCUGCCCUACGGAUGGGGACAACAGCUGGAAACGGCUGCUAAUACCGAAUACGUUCCGAAAGUCGCAUGACUAUCGGAAGAAAGGCUGGCCUCUAUUUAUAAGCUAUCGCCGGAGGAGGGGUUUGCGUCUGAUUAGCUAGUUGGAGGGGUAACGGCCCACCAAGGCGACGAUCAGUAGCCGGUCUGAGAGGAUGAACGGCCACAUUGGAACUGAGACACGGUCCAGACUCCUACGGGAGGCAGCAGUGGGGAAUCUUCCGCAAUGGGCGAAAGCCUGACGGAGCAACGCCGCGGGAGUGAAGACGGCCUUCGGGUUGUAAAGCUCUGUUAUACGGGACGAAUAAUCUUGUGGUUAAUACCCAUGAGAAGUGACGGUACCGUAAGAGAAAGCCACGGCUAACUACGUG